GAUGAACGCUGGCGGCGUGCCUAAUACAUGCAAGUCGAGCGAACAGAUAAGGAGCUUGCUCCUUUGACGUUAGCGGCGGACGGGUGAGUAACACGUGGGUAACCUACCUAUAAGACUGGGAUAACUUCGGGAAACCGGAGCUAAUACCGGAUAACAUUUGGAACCGCAUGGUUCUAAAGUGAAAGAUGGUUUUGCUAUCACUUAUAGAUGGACCCGCGCCGUAUUAGCUAGUUGGUAAGGUAACGGCUUACCAAGGCGACGAUACGUAGCCGACCUGAGAGGGUGAUCGGCCACACUGGAACUGAGACACGGUCCAGACUCCUACGGGAGGCAGCAGUAGGGAAUCUUCCGCAAUGGGCGAAAGCCUGACGGAGCAACGCCGCGUGAGUGAUGAAGGGUUUCGGCUCGUAAAACUCUGUUAUUAGGGAAGAACAAACGUGUAAGUAACUGUGCACGUCUUGACGGUACCUAAUCAGAAAGCCACGGCUAACUACGUGCCAGCAGCCGCGGUAAUACGUAGGUGGCAAGCGUUAUCCGGAAUUAUUGGGCGUAAAGCGCGCGUAGGCGGUUUCUUAAGUCUGAUGUGAAAGCCCACGGCUCAACCGUGGAGGGUCAUUGGAAACUGGGAAACUUGAGUGCAGAAGAGGAAAGUGGAAUUCCAUGUGUAGCGGUGAAAUGCGCAGAGAUAUGGAGGAACACCAGUGGCGAAGGCGACUUUCUGGUCUGUAACUGACGCUGAUGUGCGAAAGCGUGGGGAUCAAACAGGAUUAGAUACCCUGGUAGUCCACGCCGUAAACGAUGAGUGCUAAGUGUUAGGGGGUUUCCGCCCCUUAGUGCUGCAGCUAACGCAUUAAGCACUCCGCCUGGGGAGUACGACCGCAAGGUUGAAACUCAAAGGAAUUGACGGGGACCCGCACAAGCGGUGGAGCAUGUGGUUUAAUUCGAAGCAACGCGAAGGACCUUACCAAAUCUUGACAUCCUUUGAAAACUCUAGAGAUAGAGCCUUCCCCUUCGGGGGACAAAGUGACAGGUGGUGCAUGGUUGUCGUCAGCUCGUGUCGUGAGAUGUUGGGUUAAGUCCCGCAACGAGCGCAACCCUUAAGCUUAGUUGCCAUCAUUAAGUUGGGCACUCUAGGUUGACUGCCGGUGACAAACCGGAGGAAGAUGGGGAUGACGUCAAAUCAUCAUGCCCCUUAUGAUUUGGGCUACACACGUGCUACAAUGGACAAUACAAAGGGCAGCUAAACCGCGAGGUCAUGCAAAUCCCAUAAAGUUGUUCUCAGUUCGGAUUGUAGUCUGCAACUCGACUACAUGAAGCUGGAAUCGCUAGUAAUCGUAGAUCAGCAUGCUACGGUGAAUACGUUCCCGGGUCU
rnacentral:rRNA from 1 species